AUGUAUGAUGUCAGGUACAGUAUGUAACAUGUAUGAUGUCAGGUACAGUAUGUAACAUGUAUGAUGUCAGGUACAGUAUGUAACAUGUCAGGUACAGUAUGUAUGAUGUCAGGUACAGUAUGUAACAUGUCAGGUACAGUAUGUAACAUGUCAGGUACAGUAUGUAACAUGUCAGGUACAGUAUGUAACAUGUCAGGUACAGUAUGUAACAUGUAUGAUGUCAGGUACAGUAU